GGUAACCUGCCUUAUACAGGGGGAUAACAGUCAGAAAUGACUGCUAAUACCGCAUAAGCGCACAGGACCGCAUGGUCCGGUGUGAAAAACUCCGGUGGUAUAAGAUGGACCCGCGUUGGAUUAGCUAGUUGGCAGGGUAACGGCCUACCAAGGCGACGAUCCAUAGCCGGCCUGAGAGGGUGAACGGCCACAUUGAGACUGAGACACGGCCCAGACUCCUACGGGAGGCAGCAGUGGGGAAUAUUGCACAAUGGGGGAAACCCUGAUGCAGCGACGCCGCGUGAAGGAAGAAGUAUCUCGGUACGUAAACUUCUAUCAGCAGGGAAGAAAAUGACGGUACCUGACUAAGAAGCCCCGGCUAACUACGUGCCAGCAGCCGCGGUAAUACGUAGGGGGCAAGCGUUAUCCGGAUUUACUGGGUGUAAAGGGAGCGUAGACGGAUGGACAAGUCUGAUGUGAAAGGCUGGGGCUCAACCCCGGGACUGCAUUGGAAACUGCCCGUCUUGAGUGCCGGAGAGGUAAGCGGAAUUCCUAGUGUAGCGGUGAAAUGCGUAGAUAUUAGGAGGAACACCAGUGGCGAAGGCGGCUUACUGGACGGUAACUGACGUUGAGGCUCGAAAGCGUGGGGAGCAAACAGGAUUAGAUA
rnacentral:rRNA from 1 species